AUUCUGAGCGGCGGACGGGUGAGUAACGCGUGGGUAACCUGCCCUGUACAUAUGGAUAACAUGCUGAAAAGCAUACUAAUACAUAAUAACGUACAUUGAAGGCAUCUUCGAUGUAUCAAAGCGUUAGCGUACAGGAUGGACCCGCGUCUGAUUAGCUAGUUGGUGGGGUAAAAGCCUACCAAGGCGACGAUCAGUAGCCGACCUGAGAGGGUGAUCGGCCACAUUGGAACUGAGACACGGUCCAAACUCCUACGGGAGGCAGCAGUGGGGGAUAUUGCACAAUGGGCGAAAGCUGAUGCAGCAACGCCGCGUGAACGAUGAAGGUCUUCGGAUCGUAAAGUUCUGUUGCAGGGGAAGAUAAUGACGGUACCCUGUGAGGAAGCACCGGCUGACUACGUGCCAGCAGCCGCGGUAAUACGUAGGGUGCUAGCGUUAUCCGGAUUUACUGGGCGUAAAGGGUGCGUAGGUGGUCUUUCAAGUCGGUGGUUAAAGGCUACGGCUCAACCGUAUUAAGCCGCCGAAACUGGAAGACUUGAGUGCAGGAGAGGAAAGUGGAAUUCUCAGUGUAGCGGUGAAAUGCGUAGAUAUUGGGAAGAACACCAGUAGCGAAGGCGGCUUUCUGGACUGCAACUGACACUGAGGCACGAAAGCGUGGGUAGCAAACAGGAUUAGAUACCCUGGUAGUCCACGCCGUAAACGAUGAGUACUAGGUGUCGGGGGUUACCCCCCUCGGUGCCGCAGUUAACGCAUUAAGUACUCCGCCUGGGGAGUACGCACGCAAGUGUGAAACUCAAAGGAAUUGACGGGGACCCGCACAAGUAGCGGAGCAUGUGGUUUAAUUCGAAGCAACGCGAAGAACCUUACCUAAGCUUGACAUCCCUCGGACCGGUAGUUAAUCCUACCUUCCUUCGGGGCCGAGGUGACAGGUGGUGCAUGGUUGUCGUCAGCUCGUGUCGUGAGAUGUUGGGUUAAGUCCCGCAACGAGCGCAACCCUUGUCUUUAGUUGCCAGCAUUUAGUUGGGCACUCUAGAGAGACUGCCAGGGAUAACCUGGAGGAAGGUGGGGAUGACGUCAAAUCAUCAUGCCCCUUAUGCUUAGGGCUACACACGUGCUACAAUGGGUGGUACAGAGGGUUGCCAAACCGUGAGGUGGAGCUAAUCCCUUAAAGCCAUUCUCAGUUCGGAUUGUAGGCUGAAACUCGCCUACAUGAAGCUGGAGUUACUAGUAAUCGCAGAUCAGAAUGCUGCGGUGAAUGCGUUCCCGGGUCUUGUACACACCGCCCGUCACACCAUGGGAGUCGGAAACACCCGAAGCCGAUUAUCUAACCGCAAGGAAGAAGUCGUCGAAGGUGGCGUCGAUAACUGGGGUGAAGUCGUAACAAGGUAGCCGUAAGCUUCACAAUCGUCGAC
rnacentral:rRNA from 1 species